AAUAAACAGUUAAUAAAGGUGUUUUGACUGGAACAUCUUCUGCAAUUUUUGGUUGUGGAGGCUUAAUUACAGACUAGACUAUCAAACUUUCAGAAGGUUUGGGAACAGAGACUGAUUGGCGUCACCAGGCUAUUUGGAAUAAAAUCCCAGCCCUUAUCUCCAAAAUGCAGCGUCCAAUUGAUUUUCUCUGGACCAUUACACACCACACACUGCCGCAAAGCCCAGAAGGGGAGUGGUAGAGCAUCACACUUCUCAACGUCCUUUUGUGGGCUCUUUGGGAGACACAGAUUCUCCUCUUAAGAACUGAAGAAUGGAUGAUGAAACUAUUAUGGUAAAGGCUCAGCUGUUUUCCAAACUCGGGCUGUACCCAGAGAGGCCUUGCUACCCCAGGACUGGGUUUGCAAAGCACAAAGCCACAUGUGGUAGGCCUGGGUGAUUAAAAACGCCAACUGCUGCUCAUACAAAUUGAACAUUUCCAUACAGAUUGCUGAAUUCCACUUAUAACAGCAUUAUCAGCCUGCAAAACUGGGAAGAGCUUCAGUCAGUGAGCAGAGCUGGAAGAGAUGGGCAUACAUGUGGUGCAAUUUGCUUAACAGGAAAAUACUUUAAGGUUAAGGAGAGCUCUUCACACCAAAGCUGUAGCUCGUUAUCUACCAGGUCCCAGGCAGAUUGGAUUUGCCAAUCAAAUGAUUUUUAAUCAAAUUGCCAACACCAGCCCUAUUUGCCCUCUUCCCAUGCAGCCUAGGGCUUUACUGCCCUGGGAAAGCAGGCUUUGACAUUCCAGCCAGCCAUGAUCAUCCUUUGCUGCUGAAGCUCAGGCUUCCUAUAUGGGUUUCCUGGCAUCUGUGUUUGGUCAAUGAGUUGUUCCCCUCUUUUUCCAGUCUUCUGAUGGGAUCAGGCUGGGGUGCAGCCUCCUCAGAAACAGGCUGUGCAAAAUCCGUUGGGCUGUGCCAGUCUCACUCCAGAAUGCUCAUUUCUGCCUUCACAUACUUUUUGUGACUCUCUCGCUACUCACCAGUGUUUCAGCACAUUGCAGUGUGAGCACCAGAAGGUGAUAAAUACUUUGUUGUGACAGCUCUGUCCUAUCUGUCCAAGGAUCUUCUUGGUGUUUAGCCACAGCAGCAGCAGUUUGAUGGAGCCAAAUCCUUCCAAGGGCAAGAAAGGCCUCAGUCCUCACCCUGAGCCCUCCAUCACCUGCUGGUCCCCUCUUCCUGCCUCAGCUCCCCAUCUGUCAUUAGCAUGUCUUAAAUAUUCAUUCCUCACUCUCUCUGGCAUGCUUGAAAGCUGAAUUUUCAAUUAAAUAUUAACUAGUGUUUAAAGGCCAAUCAUUAGUGGAAAAAAAAAAAGCAUUGGAAUAUUUUGCCCUCUGCAUCUGUUUCUGGUGAGGUGAUUCACUAAAUCAAGCAGCAGUUGCCAGUGGUGGUCAGUGAUGCACAGAGCAUCUCCCAAGCACAUCCCCUGGUGUCUGCCUGUGGCACAUGUGAACUCCUGCUCCACAACCCCUGCCUGGGUUUCAAACCCCCUCGGGGCAGGGUUGCUAGGGUCUCUGGGGCACCCUGGGCUGAGCCUGAAACUGCUCUUGCUCUUUUGAAGAUGCAAAGUGCCCUUACAAUACCCAGCCUUUCAGACUGGGGAACACAGCUGAAAACCUGGUGAGCUAAAGCUGCUUUGUGAUUGCCAGUGCUUUUGUCAUGCACCGGGCUGCCAAUACAAUUGCAGUAUCCCUUGUCAAGUGCCUAGCCCAACCUGCCCAUCUGGGCCCAGAAGGCUGAAAUGCUGCCUGGGAAGGCACAGGAAAGUGGAGGACAAGGCUAACAGACUAUUCUGUAGCCCUGGAAAAUUCAAAACUUAAAAGCAGGAAGGUUUCAAGAAUGGGGAAAGGACAAGGGAUGUCUGGACGCUCCUGGGUUAUCCUGACUUUCUAAACUUGGGCAUAGGUAGCCUUUUCAGGCUGGCUGCCUAAGUGUAGGUGCUGCUGCCCCAGGCUCUGCCUCUUCCAAUGUCCCCAGCCCCAACCCACUGUGCUGUGAGCACCAGGACCCACCUGAGCACGCAGAGAUUUUCACCCUGAUAGAGUGACCUUACCAGCGCCUGUAAGGCGUAGACAGGAACUGGAAAGCUCAGGCUCUCCAGUGCAAGCAGAGAUGUUGUUUUAGUGUCCUACAAAACACAUUUAUCACUACAGAGUAUGACUUUCUCAACUACCUGGUUUUGCUUCCUGAGGUACAUCUUCUACUCCAGCUCAGUUAACUUCUGUUCAGCACUGCUUUACUGGUAGUUACCUCUGCAAAUGGUACCUCUUCCAAAGAGCCCUGCCACCAUAUCUGGUAAAAACCUGUCAGAGGAGAAGCCCGGGUCUGGACUCUGGAAUGACAUUUGGUGCAGUAGCAACGUUUGAAAGCAAUGGUAUUUCCUUCUGAGGAAAAAACAAAAAAGGACCCUUCAACUUGUUUUCUCUCCCCCACUCCCUCCUCCUGGAGGAGAUAUUCGCCAAGGGCCACAGAUGGGAUCGUUUACAGUUUCCUUUUGAGCUGCCUUGGCCCUUUCAGGUUGUUUAUUCAAGCUGGGCUCUCAAACAGCGGAGGGUGGGACAAGGAAGGCCUCCUUCCAUAUUCCAAUUUGGAUUGGGGUUGCUGCAGUUCCCCAUCUGACAGAAGAUGAUUGAUGAGAAUGAUGCUGGCUGUAAACCUAGGAGGGUUUGGAGACCAGGCAGCUCUGCUCUUUACAAGGCCUUAAAUCCUGGUUGUUGGAGCAAUGCAGGGAAUACCAUCCUGGGGUAAUUACAAGCUGACAACAGCAAAAGCCACUGGAAAAGGCAGGCACUCCAGAGUUGUGGUGGGACAGCUGAAGAGGUGGCUGGGGAUUUUUUGGUGUGCUUUGUUUGUGGAAACAUGCAUACUUGGUCCCGAGCUGAGGUCAAAAUAUGCUUACAGAAAGCAGGGUCUAGAGAUGAGGAGGAGAUCUGCAGCAGAAAGCCUGGAAAGGUGCUGGAAGGGCUGAGGAUCACCUCAGAGGGGAGGUUACAAAAUCUUUGGAUACUUCCCUGGUGGCAGUGGGCUAAAUACACACUUGUUAAGAGCAUUGGAACCAGCUGGCAACAGUGCUGGUCCACCCUAAUGGCUACAGUUUUCCACAGCCUCCUCUCCUGAGAGCAGCUCUCAUUGCGCAAGUACCAGCCUCAGUUUCUCCAAAGCAAGGCUUGGAUGGAAAGGCCUUCAGGAGAGGACAAGAUCCCAGUUUGACUCAUGGGCGAGGCAGCAAGGAUGGGAGGCACAGGGGAUUGCCAUCGCAUGUGGGUCGGAACGGUGGCCUGCUCCAGGGAUCUUCAGGGCAUGGUUAUAGGGAAGCUAAACUUUAAUCUGGUUUCUCCUUCCCAGAGGAUGGCUGGCAUGGACUGGCACUACUUUUCAUUGCUUCGGCUGAACAAGCCUGUCCUGGUGUUAGACUUGCUGAACUACAGGGUGUGUGGCCUGGGUUAGGUCACCAAGAGCUUUAUUCAAAGCUGUAAGCACCCUGAAGCCUCUAGACUGGAAAUUUAACCAAACCAGGAGAGCUGGGCUAGAAGAAAGCAGCUGGGGGCAAAGCAAGGCCCUAAAAUAGAUGUACUUAGAGUAGCUCCUCCAGUUAGGCUGGAUGACCCUGUGGGGCUGGGAUGAGAAGCAGGGGAUUUCCCCUCCCUGUGCCUGUGCUGCUGGUUUAAAUCCAACCACAACUGAGCAGUAAAUAGGAGUUACCAUCCGGCAGCUGUGGGGUGACCCGUGUGCAGUGAGUCAGUGAGCUCUGGCCACACAGCCCUGCAGACAUCUGCCGCAGAGGAAGACUGGACUGGAAAGCAUAUUUUCUUUGGGAAUGUGCUCUCAUUUGGGUGAGCCCUGCAGUGCUCCCUGCACACGAGCACUGCAGUGGCAUCCUGGGAUGCAGCACUCCAGCACCCCAAUGCUGGAGCUGCAUUCCAGGAUACAGUGAUGCUGCACACUAGUGCUGAAGACACAGCUCAAAAUGCAUCCCUCCUUGCACACCAGCACUGCAGCAACAGCCCAGGAUGCAGCUCUGCUACCCAGCACAACAGCAAGUGUCUGCAUGUUGUGGCUCAACAGUCAGGAUAUGCAGGCCCAUCAGCAGAGCAGCAUCAGCAUGACCAUAUAACUAGAGUAGCUGUGAUUAAAGGGGAACCCUUGCCUUCUAACGCUGCUGAGCAAUCUGUAACCAGCUGAAUAGAGUCAUGGUGCUGCAGUUGGUCAGGCUGAGCCUGUAGCAGCUUGGGCACAUGUGUAUCUGCCUUAGUGACAUGGGUUUACUCACAAGGGAACAAGGUAAAUGUUUGAAUACAGGGAGGAUGCUAAAUAUCUGACAGCUCUCCAGUGUCUCACAGAGCUGACAAACAGAGAGGGUUUUGAGCAGACAUUUGAAGGGCAGAGCAGGUUUUUUACAAGGAACUUCCUCUCCUGGGCAGAUGGGACAAAGGGGAUAAAGCCAAGCAAAACCACACGGCUGCUUAUUUAUCACUUAUAUUCAGGCGAGCUGAGGCAUACACGCCUCCCACUGUGCAGGGGCUGCACAAACACAUGAGGAGACUUGGGUCCUGCCUCAGAGUUUCCAGUCUAACAAAAAAACCCCAAACUUGGAGGAGCAGCAGCUCUGAAAUCUCUCUGUAGAUCUCCACCUGGUAAAAGAAGUGCAGACAGGGGCAUGUUCUCUCCACAUCAGCUGCACAGCGAGAGCGGCUUAGAUGAACUCUCCUGGCUGGUAAUAAAAUGAUUUUACAUAUGUAGGAAGCAGGAUGUGCAAAGCCCAGGAGUCUGAUCUUGUUUCUGAGAUCAAACAGAGUCUUAUUGUACAGGGGUGUGGAGCUGAUGUAACUGUCUAGUGUGCCGGACACAAUCGCCGUGGUUACGCAGCUGGACCGGAAUAAAGCAAGUCUGUAUCUGAACUCAUUAAUUUUUACAACCAA